rnacentral:rRNA from 1 species
UACAGAGGUGGCAAGCGUUGUUCGGAAUUACUGGGCGUAAAGGGCGCGUAGGCGGCCAUCUAAGUCAGACGUGAAAUCCCCCGGCUUAACCUGGGAACUGCGUCUGAUACUGGAAGGCUUGAAUCCGGGAGAGGGAUGCGGGAAUUCCAGGUGUGGCGGUGAAAUGCGUAGAUAGUCCGGAGGAACACCGGUGGCGAAGGCGGCUUCCUGGACCGACACUGACGCUGAGGCGCGAAAGCUAGGGGAGCAAACAGG